AGUAGCACAGGCAGGAGCAGGAGGCAUUCGUCUGGAUUCCUCUCUCGUCUGUGGGAACGCUCACAUUCAGCAGGACUGAGUAGCUUUCACAGAGUCUAUCUCAAAACUGUUUUAUUAUUUCUAUUUGAAAUAAAUCUGUCUGUGUGAGAGAGAGAGAGGGAGAGACAGUAUGGGAGCAGUGUGCAGGAGCUGUCCAUGCCCGGGUACUGACAGCCGGCCAAUCGCGUUCAUCUUCUGAUGUCUGCUGACUGAGAAUUGGCCAAUCGCGUCCGGGCAUGAUCUGUGCUGACUCCUGUGGUGGAGGGUGUCUGGUCGGGGGGGCCGGUGCACAUGGCCGACCGGGGCAACCACCGCAAUUAAUGGAGUUUCAGAGAAAAACAGUCGUAACGUUGACGAGGUGACUCAGUGUGACUCUGUGUUAUUUUUAGGAUUAGGGAAGCGAGGGAAAAAAAGUGAAAGUAUCUGAAGGCUCGAAGCAAGAGGAACAGAAAUAAAUAUACUUUAUUCACACAUUUAUGCAGCACACGUUGAUUUAUUAGUCGAUGUAUUCAUCCAAGGUUAAAACACUUUCAUUAAACCUUACGUCCACUCAGUCAAGUACAAAUGUUCAUUAAAUUCGUUUUUGGCCGAGGAGCGAUCACUGAGCUGAGUUGGACAUUAAGUUUGAAGUGUUUAUGAAUCAGUUUUAUGAAGUUCAGAUGGGGAGUUUCUUUUGUUAGUAUUUAAAAACAAUAUCUGUCCUCAAUACAAGUUUCUUUCCACUUUUCUCUCAACCUAUUUCUCUGCCAGUUUUCUGUCCCUGUGCAUCACAGGCGGUAUAAUUUUGUAACAAGGGAAAGAAAAUCUAUUGCAUCAUUACUUAUAUAUAUAUAUAUAGAGUGAGAGGUAAAGUAGGAUCUCUUGUUUUGUUUUAAUAUUUGUCAAGAUGUACUCACCAGUUUAGCUGAUUCUGAGGCAUCAUAACCAUAGCUGCAAAUUUUACAUGGCAUUAAAAAAAAACAUAUUCUUUAAUAUGUCUUUGAAAAUCGAAUUCGUUUUUGGGUCCAAUAUGUUGAUAAACUAUGUUAAAAGAAAAAAAUGCAUUGUCUCGUCAUGUAGGCAAUGCUGUGCCGAAGAGUAAUACAAAAAUGAAUGUGGUAUAUAAAGGCAAAAUCUAAAUUAGCUCAGGGCUCCUGCAGGUUUUACAUUCUACAUUCAAAAUAUGCUUUUUGUGCUACAGUGUCUUUUUUUAAAACGGAUACUUCUAUCCAACACAAUAUUGGAUCGAAGUAUCAGACAUAAUUCUCAGGACAGUUUAUCGGUUGAGCUUGUUGUGCGUUGUCAGUUAAUUCUAACUAAAUUCAAUCCCAUGUUAAACACCCUGUCUGUGAUGAAGUUGAGCAACUCAGAGUUUCACUCACAGGAAAAAUGUUCUAUAGGUUCAUUCACUUACACACACACACACACACUUACAUACUAACACUUACACACACACACACACACAGAGAGGGAUGCCGCUGCAGGUCUUUUACCUUUGACACCCUCUCUAAAAAAUGCCUGCAGUGACAGAACUGGAUUGGGCGAGGCCAGGGCUGCAACAUGCCUCACAAUCUGAACCUACAGUCUCCAUGUUGUAGGUGAACCGUUCCCCUUUCUUCCCUGAUCAUACCUCAUGAAAUCUGAUAAAACGAGAACUGAAUAAAUAUGAAAUUUGCUGUCGCUGGUCGAUCUCACAUUUUGAUAUAAAAACCUCCGACGCUGCGGAAGCGGAGCCGACACCAAAGAUGGAGGAUCGGCUUUGGAUGAAUGAAGAAACUCCUCAGAAACUCAAAGGGUUGAGUGGAGACUGGUACUCUGAUCUGAUGUGUUUUCAUGGAGACCGGCUGCAAACAGAUCAGCAUUGUGAUGCAAAGACAAAAGAAGAUGAAGAGGAGGAAGGAGUGGACAUGGAUCAAGAUGCUGCAACGACUUCAGUAUCAAACCCUUUGACCCAAGCAUGAGGCAGGGAAGGAGCAGGACAGUAUAUGGGCUUUACAUUUGAAUUGGAAACUAAUUGGUAAGAUUUAAAUAUGAAAAUAAAAAUAUUAAUUAAUAUUAAGUUUACUUAUCGUGUCCAGAAAUUGUAUCCACUGUACUUUCUGGAUAUAGUGUAGAAUUUAAAAAGGGGAACUUUUCUUUAUACAUGACAGGAAAUGUAGAAAUGUAAGUUUUAGUCAUGUUCCUUUCUCUUUCCUUAUGAUGGUGGAUGUGGAGCUUUCUAUGAAAUGCUGUAGGUUUACACUUGAGCUGUCAGAUCUUUCCAAAUAAACGAUGUUCUAUCAAACA